CCCCUCGGCGGCUAACCCGGGAACUGGGUAUAAUACCCGAUAGAUCUCGACUGCUGGAAUGCAUCGAGAUCGAAAGCUCCGGCGCCAGAGGAUGGGUCUGCGGCCUAUCAGGUAGUAGUGGGUGUAGCGUACCUACUAGCCUACGACGGGUACGGGUUGUGAGAGCAAGAGCCCGGAGAUGGAUUCUGAGACACGAAUCCAGGCCCUACGGGGUGCAGCAGGCGCGAAAACUUUACAAUGCCGGCAACGGCGAUAAGGGGACCUCGAGUGCCAGGUUACAAAUCUGGCUGUCGUGAUGCCUAAAAAGCAUUGCAUAGCAAGGGCCGGGCAAGACCGGUGCCAGCCGCCGCGGUAACACCGGCGGCUCGAGUGGUAACCGUUAUUAUUGGGUCUAAAGGGUCUGUAGCCGGCCGGAUAAGUCUCUUGGGAAAUCCAGCAGCUCAACUGUUGGGCUUUCAGGAGAUACUGUCUGGCUCGAGGCCGGGAGAGGUGAGAGGUACUUCAGGGGUAGGGGUGAAAUCUUGUAAUCCUUGAAGGACCACCAGUGGCGAAGGCGUCUCACCAGAACGGACCUGACGGCAAGGGACGAAAGCUAGGGGCACGAACCGGAUUAGAUACCCGGGUAGUCCUAGCCGUAAACGAUACUCGCUAGGUGUCGGCCACGGUGCGACCGUUGUCGGUGCCGUAGGGAAGCCGUGAAGCGAGCCACCUGGGAAGUACGGCCGCAAGGCUGAAACUUAAAGGAAUUGGCGGGGGAGCAC
rnacentral:rRNA from 1 species